AUGUAACCUAAAAAAUAAGACGUAAUUAUUAAGUAAAAAAAAUAUAGUUACCCUCAUAAAUAAAUAAAUAAAUAAAUCCAGAAGCACAAUUUGACGUGAAUCAGAAGUUUUCAUCCCUAGAAAAACACUUAAUUUGAAGGUGAUGAACGUAACCUCAAAAAUAAGACAUAAUUAUUCAGUAAAAAAAAUAUAGUUACCUUCAGAAAUAUAUAAAUAAAUAAAUCCAGAAGCACAAAUUGAUGUGAAUCGGAAAUUGCAACCCCUUGAAAAACACUUAAUAUGAAGGUGAUGAAUGUAAACUCAAAAUAAGACAUAAUUAUUCAGUAAAAAAAUAUAGUUACCUUCAAAAAUAUGUAAAUAAAUAAAUCCAGAAGCACAAAUUGACGUGAAUCAGGAAUUGCAACCCCUCGAGAAACACUUAAUUUGAAGGUGAUGAAUGUAAACUCAAAAUAAGACGUAAUUAUUCAGUAAAAAAAUAUAGUUACAAGAAGCGCAAAUUGACCUGAAUCGGAAAUUGCAACCCCUUGAAAAACACUUAAUAUGAAGGUGAUGAAUGUAACCUCAAAAUAAG